rfam:Lasius niger Lnig_2.1_2159, whole genome shotgun sequence.
UUCCGAGGGGGAAAAGUUAUGGCGAUUAUGAGAAAUUUAACCAUAAGCGUAUAGCUUUUCCCCUUCGGCG